rnacentral:rRNA from 1 species
CAAGGGCCCAGGUCCUACGGGGCGCAGCAGUCGCGAAAACUUUGCAAUACACGAAAGUGUGACAGGGUCAUCCCGAGUGCCGACCGCUGAGGUUGGCUUUUACCCAGUCUAGAAAGCUGGGGGAAUAAGGAGAGGGCAAGUCUGGUGUCAGCCGCCGCGGUAAUACCAGCUCUCCGAGUGGUGUGGACGUUUAUUGGGCCUAAAGCAUCCGUAGCUGGCUGAGCAAGUCCCCUGUUAAACCCACCGAUUUAAUCGUUGGCGUGCGGGGGAUACUGCUCGKCUAGGGGACGAGAGAGGCAGACGGUAUUCCCGGGGUAGGGGUGAAAUCCUAUAAUCCCGAGAAGACCACCAGUGGCGAAGGCUGUCUGCUAGAACGCGCCCGACGGUGAGGGAUGAAAGCUGGGGGAGCGAACCGGAUUANAUACCCCGGGUAGUCCCAGCCUGUAAAUCGAUGCAGACCUANGGUGUUUGGANCGGCCACCGUGCCGUUNCUAGUGCCGCAGGGAAGCUGUUAAGUCUGCCGCCUGGGGAGUACGAUCGCAAGAUUGAAACUUAAAGGAAUUGGC